AGCAGCCGCGGUAAUUCCAGCUCCAAUAGCGUAUAUUAAAGUUGUUGCAGUUAAAAAGCUCGUAGUUGAAUUUCGGGAUCAAAUUGUCGGUCGUGCCUCGGUACGUACUGGUAUUAUUGGUUCCUCCCUUCUGACGAACCACGAUGUCAUUAAUUUGGUGUCAUGGGAAAUCAGGACUGUUACUUUGAAAAAAUUAGAGUGUUUAAAGCAGGCUCGCGCUUGAAUACAUUAGCAUGGAAUAAUGAAAUAGGACGUUUGAUUCUAUUUUGUUGGUUUCUAGGAUCGACGUAAUGAUUAAUAGGGAUAGUUGGGGGCAUUAGUAUUCAAUUGUCAGAGGUGAAAUUCUUGGAUUUAUUGAAGACUAACUACUGCGAAAGCAUUUGCCAAGGAUGUUUUCAUUAAUCAAGAACGAAAGUUAGGGGAUCGAAGACGAUCAGAUACCGUCGUAGUCUUAACCAUAAACUAUGCCGACUAGGGAUCGGAUGAUGUUAAUUUUUAUGUACUUCAUUCGGCGCCUUAC
rnacentral:rRNA from 1 species